rnacentral:sRNA from 1 species
AUAAUACUAAUGUGCAAUUCAGGAAAAAGUAAACGAUGAUUCAUCAUCAACUCUACGUUAGAAUAAUGGAUUAGCAGGUAAAAUAUGUAUGUGAAUUCGGAUUAUACUGAGUUUACACUUCUUU